rnacentral:antisense_RNA from 1 species
UCCUACGGUGGCUGUGCGUGAGGCCUUCGGGUGCGCCGGUUUUCCUAUUGACCGGUCUGCUAGCCCGCCUACAGCCGCCACCCUC